rnacentral:tRNA from 1 species
GUGGGAAUAGCUCAGCUGGUAGAGCGUUGCCUUGCCAUGGCAAAGGUCGCGGGUUCAAAUCCCGUUUCCCACUCCA